GAUAUUGUCCGCUUUAGGCCCAGCCCGCACGGUUUUGUUCUUGGGCCAGCAACACAUGCUGUAACCCAAAACGCGUCUACCAUGUUCUAGAGUGCCACCCUUUAUGUAUAGGACUUCCACCUUGUGCUUAGCCGAUGUGGGAUUCGCCUAAGGUGCAGUCCCUGACAUACACCCCCCCUUAGGGACUCAGCGUCCUCGCUGAGGUUUGCCCCACCACCAGCCAUAGGGACAAGGCUUUGGCUCUGAUACCAAANNN
rnacentral:lncRNA from 1 species